GAUGAGAAUUUAGGGAGAUCGAGGUUGAACUCAAAUACUUGAGUCCACCUUCAAUAGUGGGAUGUUAAAUUCACCAAAAUCGCCGGUCAAGGUUUCGAUGUUGUCAGUUACAAACUCAGGUGAGCCUUUGUGGUGCCUGCAGUGAUAAUGGAGUUAAAGGAGAAUAUGGUGGCAAUGCAAUUCAGUUCGACACUUGUGGUAAUUGGCCCCU
rnacentral:lncRNA from 1 species